rnacentral:lncRNA from 1 species
AUGCUCGUUUUCAAAAGUGUUUGCGGCUCACCUAAAAAACCCACGGUUACCGUUUCCGCGCUAGGAGAGUUCUCUGGUCCCCAGUACUUGCAUAGCGACUUGAUGAUGUUUUCCCAAAAGGGCGGAAAGGCAGUACCCUGCGGCGGCACACGCGCGUCCAGGUAUCCGGCCAGUUUCCCCGCAGGCAGCGCAUCGCACAGGCCCAGUCCGCGUGCCGUUCUCGCUCUUCAUUCCCCGGGUCUCCCUCUGGGAGCCGGGGAGCUUCGCCCACUUGCACCUGCCCGGCACUGCCCGCCACCCGCUCCCUCCCCUCCACUGCACUUCGGAAGUCAGGAGAGAACCGUGCCCGGUCUGUGCGAAAAGCCACCAGAAUCCGUCCCGAACACGGGACCGGGUGGGAGUCAACCCCUCGGGCCAUUACCUGGGUCCCCGCGCGUGGCAGCCCGGCUGCAGGAGCCUCAGAGCAACCAGCCCGAGCGGAGGAGAGCGGCGAGACCCAGCUCCCGCCGCCUGGCUCCCCGGGCGCCACAAAUGGCAGCAGUUUCAGCACCGCGGACCUGGGCGAGCGCGGCGCCCGCAGCCCGGCAGGGGCGCGGGGCUCCCGGGGCGGCCGCGCGGCGGGGCGCCGAGCGAGGGUGGGUGCGGGGCGCGCGGGGAGGCGCCGCCUCCUCCCCUCCCACCUCCCCUAUUUACCUCCUCGGCCAAGGUCACGGCCCCGCGGCGUCAGCCCUCGCGGGCGGGCUGGGUGCCGGCGCUGUCAGCUGGCGGCGAGCGGAGCCCCGACGCAGGGCAGCCUCAUCACACUCGGCGGAUGCGGAACCGCGCGGCUCAGGCCACCGCCGUCGCCGCCGCCGUGCACAGGCCGCCCCGGCAGCCCGCCGCUCGCGCCCGCUCCCCCCCCCCUCCCCGCCGCCUGGCUGGCCCGCUCCCGCCGCCGCCUCUGCUCCCGGGCGCGGGGACCAGCCGAGCGCGCGCCGCAGGCGAGGCGCCGGCCCGUGCGCGCGACUGGGAGGCGGGAGGAGGGGCGGUCACGUGGGCCGGGCGGCCGGAGGCGCGGGCGCCCCGAGGCCGCCCCGCCGCCCGCCCUCGCGCCCCGGCCCCGCGGGCGCACAGCCCGCGCGGUCGCCGGUGCGGGCGCCGCGGGCGGCCUGGGGGCCCGCGCAGAGCGGCGAGCGGCAGCCGGAAGGGCAGGGCGGGCGCGCGGAUGGAGGGAUGCAGGGCUGGAUGGAGUCCCGCGCAGCCGGCGCGUUUCAUCACGUGCCUGCUGACUCCGCUGACAGUGCGAGGGCAGCGGAUGAUUGA